rnacentral:lncRNA from 1 species
GUAUGUAGGUUGGAAGAUUUAAAAUUUCCCAUAAUCUCCCAAACCAAUCAGGAGAAAACAGAUUUUUGAAAAGCUCACUUGAAAAGCGAGGAGCCUUCAUGUCUCAGAACAUCUCUGGACGUCUGGGCCACCAAUAGUUCUAUCGAAGGUCCCAUGACGCUGAUCAGGCAUUCUAAUUACAGCACAUUUCACAGGCUGCAGAACCCUCUGAUGUCCUUCUCAACCUCCUGACAAGUCUACAGGAGGGAGUUAAUGCCAGCAAGUGUCACCAUCCCCAUUUUACAGAUAAGAAAACUAAAGCUCAACUGAUUGAGGGAGAGCUGUAGCCACAAUAUUCUCCAUUUCAGACUUGAACUUGUCCCUUCAAUAAAUGAUGGCAAUGUUCCAGUUGGCAAAGUCCUUUUGCAAAGUGGUGAAUGACUAAAUCAGCAAAAAGAAAACUAAGGAAAUUCUAGAAAGGACAUCAACCAGGGCAGCAGGUAGGCAGAGAAAAGCAUUUGAAUACUAGGAUUCUGGUCGAGUGUGGGGACAGGAGCCGCGUCCCCUCCUCGACCUUGGGGYGCCGUGCCCUCUCUUCUUGCUGGAAGCUUGUCCCAGGCCCCAGUGGGCUGUACCUGCACUUCCCUCGGGGUCACCCCGUCACCAGGAAAGCGCCCGGGUGCAUGACAAACCCACAGAACCACUGAACAGACACCCCAAGUGCCUGCCUCCAGGGCUCAGCCGGUUGAAGGGCAAUGCCACGUCACACCCUCUAGCGAGUCCUUCCUCCAGGAACAAGCCAGCCUGCCUCUGCCCUGCCUGAUGGCUCUCGGACACACAGGCUGCUCUGCCUCACAUGAUCCACUCGGCCCAGCCCACAGGGGCUGACGCUGCAGGAACACAGGUCUCCCAAAGCCCAGGGAGCCAAAAUGGCCCACUUCACAUCUUGCUUGGAAACCGCACAGCUACCGCUUUCAAAAGGCCGAUUUCUGUGUGGAGGGACAUGUAGAAAAGUAAGGGUCGAGUGGGGCGUGCUUAUUUACCGACAUUGGCAACAGAGCUGCUACUCUGGAAGAUCCAUGAUGUCCAGGCCAAGGGAGGAGAGCAGAGCAGCCCAUGCUGACGUCACUUUUAGGAAAACAGGAGUGACUCCAUGGACUGCCUCCCCUGACCCCAAAGGGAAAACCCUGCUUCUCCCAGGUAAAGAGGAAGGACAACCGCCGGCCAGGGCGGAGACCAGGAGGCCACAGGAGGAAGGGAAMGGGGCGCCUAUGUGAAUUUUCAUUAUGUGAGAAAUAUCAAAACUGUAGCUGCUCCUGGGCCGUCAGCUGACUCUGCGAUCUGCGGCUGGAGAGGCACUCGGGUGGGCGUCAGGUCGGCUUCGGUUCUAGGAGGAGGACUUUCAAAUUACUCAUGGGGCACCGGGACUCAAAAUCCUACAUCAUCUUUUCAGGCAAAAAAAGAGAGACGAGCCUGCCCAUAUUAAGAUACAAAGCCUGUAUUUACUUCUGGGUCUGGUCAAGUGAAAGACUGGAUCCCUUGAAAUGGCCUCAGGGUUUGUGUGGCCACUCCUGACAGACAAAGGACUUUGGAGGGCAAGUUCCCACUCCCCCAGUGUCUGGGGGGCUGGCCUGGGAUCCUAAGCCAGCCCCAGAGCCCUSCUCAGAGGGUGUCACUCCCACUCCAAUCAGAGCGGAAGCCCAGGGGAAGCAUCCUGGAGGAGGACGCGGCGUCAAAGUGGGCUGUACUCCGCUGCGGACACGCACGUGGUUGUCAAUCAUUCUUCUCCUCCUGGCCAUGCUCCUGGAGCAGGCACAGUGAGGACRGGUAGGAUUGGUGGAGGAGAUGGGAGCAGAGACCCUGUCCACAAGGAGGGCUGUCCCUAAAUUCACGGAGACCCGUGGGAGGAAGAGGCAGAUGACAAAAGCAGCAAGUCACAGGGCCCCUGCGCUGUCGCGGAGAUCACGUCUACAGAUGGUGGCGGUUCCCUUCACACAGGGCACUAUCUGCUGCCCUACUGCUGCUGAUCCAUCCCACAGAAAGACCACCCCAGAGCCACACGCAAGAGGACAAACCCGGUGCUGCUGGUGUCGCGGAGACGACGUCUUCCAAYACUCAAGUUUCAUAAUUAUAACAGAAAGGCGUAAAUUUUCUAAUGCAUGGCAGUUCAAAAAGUAAUCAAGGGAAUGAGCCGGAGGGCUAUUUUAAUGUAUGCAAAGCUAGUGACCCUCGGUAAAUGGGAGGUUAGCCACAAUGAAUGCAAAGUAAUGCACACACCCCAAGUCCUGCUCUAGUGAGGGACGGCUAAAAUUAACACCCAAUUAAUUUCCGAAUUGACAAACAAAUGAAACCCAUAAAUCUACUUUCUCAUUAAUUUUCUUGUGGUAUAAUUUAAAGCAGUAAUAUGAGGGCAAAAACUGAGUAUUAUCCAUCAUAAACAUCAAAAAGAUAGCACUGUAACACCAUAAAUUAUGCAUAUUACCUGUUGUUAAAAAUGAUUUAUGUAUUAUCAACUUUCCCGUGCACUGUGGAUGUCUAGCUCUAUCUGCUAAAAUCCGGGAUUGCAUUUACCACGAGGGAAGGACAUACUCAGGAGCAGUGGAACUGUCAAAGGCCAAAAACAAAACAAAACAAAACAAAACAAACAAACAAACAAAAAACCAAAAAACCCAAGUGUGGCUACCUAGUCAUACAAGAGACCAGGGAAAAACUGGAACCUCCCCAGGUCUCUGGUGAGUGGAGUUUGAGAGCUUGGAAGCCAGGGGAAGAGACAGAGUCCCUAAGCCGGGCACCUAGGAAGCUCAGCCUGUGUGUCCUGAGGGUAAGCUCAUCUCCCCUCUUUUGCAACAUGAGAAAUGCAGUGCCUGAUGCAGGAAAGGGGCAGGCACAAGAGGGUACUAGAGGGGUCCCACAGCCAGUGGGGGGCAUCUCAGCACACCACAGGACUCGGGAAACCCAGGAAGCUCAGGAAAGCCAUGUCUAGAGGUAGAAUCUGGUGGGCUCACCUGUCUAUAUUUAUACUUCCAAGGGGGUGGGAGAAAAAAACUAGUUUCUGGUUAUUGCUUCAAUCAGAAACAUUGAUCUGUUAAAUAGAAGAGGAGACACUCUAAUUAAAAGUCUAAUCCACCCUUCCACCUCCAUUUGUUUAAAAAAAAAGUAAACCAGGCACGGUGGCACAUGCCUGCAAUCCCAGUGGCUUGGGAGGCUGAGGCAGGAGGAUCAUGAGUUCAAUGCCAGCCUCAGUAACUUAGCAAGGCUCUAAGCAACGCAGCGAGAACCUGUCUCUAAAUAAACACAAAAAAGGUCUGAGG